UGGUGCAUUCCAGGCCCCCUGUCUGUCACAAUGACGAACUUGUUUUGAUGCAGCAGAGCAGGAAGGCGAGAGGCACGGAGCUCUGCUUAAUGAUCUGACAUCACACAUUGAUCACAGCAGCCAGCAGAGGAGAUCACUGUAUCCUGAGCCCCUGAGAAACAUGAGGGAGGACUCCAGCUCUCAACUCACAUAAAUCAUCUCGCCUGGUGCUGCCCAAGACAUGAGCAGGGGCUAGUGCCCUGCUUUGACCCUGAGGACAAGGUAAAAUGACCUAGGAAAUGCAACUCUAACAAACUACAGGAGAGUAAAGCAUGCAAAUUGAAAGUUUUCUUCAACCUAACAUGAUACCUGCUUGUAGUUCCUUGUUCUGGUAAAUAAAACUAUCUCCAUGGUUACAAGUAGUGGCCUGGACUAUGACCCCCCAGGGAUGUUGUAUUGUUUUUUGCAAUCAGUUUGACAUUUAUACCGUGUAAGAUGUAGAAAACACAGAGAAAUGGAUACUAAACAUUAAAUGGUAUUAAGGUAGUAUAACUAUAGAUGCUACUGGAAACCAACAGAGGUCUUUUGUGUCAUUUACUGGAAAGAGGAAGACCAAAAGAGACUGCUCCUAGGGUUACCACAAGACUCCAUGCACACCAGCUGGCCAGGAAAAGAUUCAAGAUGUUCCUCUUUGUGUGUUAGACUCGCCCUGGUUGGAGCGGACGGUUGCAGAGAAUCAACUGCGCGAUUAAGCGAUUGUACGCGCUGAGUUCGAAAGCACCCGUUUGCGAGAUGUUGUGCAUUUUGGGUAUCCAUAGCGGUGAGAUGUCUGUAGCAGACAGCCCUUUUUCUGGGAACUCGGUUUUGAAAGAAAGCUCCGCUGCCAUCCCUGACUCUAAGGGCAAGCCUUUAUUUCACUUUUAUGUUGAGCACUGUUUGUUUAGUUUUUUAUGUCUGUGUGUGAACCUCCUAUCUUGUCUAGUGCUGUGUGCAUGUGUCUGAGUACCAGAAAGAAAUGAAACAAGGUAUUCUUGCUCUAAAGGACUUGCUGCUAUAUUAAACUAUGUAACAGUGUAAUGCCUGAGAAAGAAGGACUGAACCAUUGAAACAAUGUAUCGAAUUGAAGUAUUUGGCUGAAACAUUGUAACUAACAGACAGCACUAAGUUUGUGCAAUAUGAGAAUUGAAACAGAAUUGUGUUUUAAAUAAAUGUGAUUAUUUUAUA